CAAACAUUCAAAACAUACUGCUGGAUAUGAUCCAUUGAAGCACUUUGGGCAGAAGGACUAAUAAGUGAAAACUGUGGAUAUAAGAGAGCAUCUGGAAUAUUGGCUGAACCAGGCAUACAGCAGCUGGUUUGGAACACAGGGUGAUGUUGUCUAUAAAGUAUAUAAGUUUCCACUGCUACUGGAAAUUCUAUCAAGAGAUCUAAUGGACUUCAUACAGGGGGACAUGAUUUCUCGGUGGAAGCAAGGUGAGGUCCCAGCGCACUGGCACUUCGAAGCGACAAAGAAACAUCACCCAUGACUUGCCAUGCUCUCAGGCUGAAAGAACUUCCACACAAAGGUUUGUCUGCGAGGCUGUGCUUUCCUGUCCAAGCCAGCAGAAACAGCUUACCAGCAGAAAUGCUUAAUGACUAAGCCCAGACUGGUGGAGUCACGCGGCGACAGCUUUGUUCUUAAGAAGCCAGCCAAUUAGCAGUCCUGGUUAUUAUUUACAUUUCGU
rnacentral:lncRNA from 1 species